CCCCCACCACGGACCACAGCGGCCUGUGGGGCUGGGCCCAGAACCGGACGCCGAGGGGCCAGGGGGUUCCAUACGUUUCCGGAGAGAAGAGUUUUUAUCGAUGAGACAGCGCACGGCCGUGCUGGAGACAAGGAAGGUUAGAACAAACCAUCUGGGGUCUGGAGCGGAUUCAUUCCAUUGACACGAUUUCUAAUGGGAAACAAUGAUUCGGAUUUUGAACAAAUCGCUUCGUGAACAGCCUUCUGGACGCGUGGAGUUUGAGAACCAGGGGUCCCCUGUCCUGACUUCAGGAAGAGAGAGCAGUGCAGCGCGUGCGUGGUGUGCGUGGACUCCGUGGCUGACACAGGUGUUACUGUCGGGAGCAGGAGUAUUUCCUAAGACCAGGCCCAGGAAAGCAGCUCUCCGCGAAUCCCCGUCUUCUAUCUUCCAUCUCUCGCCACACAAAGCGAUGUUUUUCUUUUCUGGGCUCGUAGAAAUUCCCGGAAAUGUGGGGAAUGAAGGUGAGAAGCAGUCCCUUACUCGGAACAGGAGCGCCGCCCGUUCGGGGGCCGCUGGCUCUGGCUCAGGGACACCGGCCACACCGCUCCCAGCGCUGAUUUCUGGGGAAGCGAGAGGAGGUCACCCCGGAAACCCGGAUGAGGCCACCCGCCUUCGGGGAGAGAGGCCCUCGCCCUGAUUUCAUUGCGACCCCGUGCUGCUGGGCUGUCAGCCAAGGCCAGAGCGAGCCGCAUGUUCGUGAUGACCCGGACGCGAGCUGCCGCUUGCUGCCUUGGUUCCUUAGAGACGCGGUCGGCUCGGUCCCGUCCCCCGCGGAGGCUUCGUAAAGCUUCCAUGGAAAUGUGUUUUUCUUCUC